rnacentral:ncRNA from 1 species
CGACCCCAGCUCAAGCGAGAACACCCGCUGAGUUUAAGCAUAUAAUUAAGCGGAGGAAAAGAAACUUACAAGGAUUCCCCUAGUAACGGCGAGCGAAUCGGGAAGAGCCCAACAUGAAAAUCGGGUGGCAGCGUCGCCUGAAUUGUAGUCUGUAUAAGCGUCCUUAGCGGUAGAUCAGGCCCAAGAACCCUGGAAGGGGGCACCUGAGAGGGUGAUAGCCCCGUCAGGCUGGGACCCUGCCACACCACGAGGUGUUGUCGGUUAGUCGGGUUGUUUGGGAAUGCAUCCCUAAUCGGGUGGUAUAUUCCGUCCAAGGCUAAAUAUGGGUGAGAGAUAGAUAGCGAACAAGUACCAUGAGGGAAAUAUGAAAAGGACUUUGAAAAUAGAGUUAAAGAUUGCUUGAAAUUGUCAGGAGGGAAGCGGAUGGAGGUCGGCGAUGCAUCUCAGUCGGAUGCGGAACGACUCAAGCUGGUCUACCACUCGACUCGAGGUGCGAACCAGCAUAGGCCGUUGCAUCAGCACAAGCGCGGGUGGAGUACUACUUGUUGGUUUGCCAUUGUGGCGGUUGAGGAACGAAGCGUGCGCACUUGGGGCGGGCCACUGUGCAUCUGCAUGCUCGUGGUGUUGGUUGGCGGCAUUUCCAUUCAACCCGUCUUGAAACACGGACCAAGGAGUCUAACGUGUGCGAGUCGGUGGGUUUGUAAACCUGUGAGGCGUAAGGAAGCUGACGGGCGAGAACCCCUCUCCAUGGGGUGCAUUGCCAACUGACCUUGAGCUUAUGCGAAGGGUUCGUGUGCGAGCACACCUGUUGGGACUCGAAAGAUGGUGAACUAUGCCUGAGUAGGGCGAAGCCAAAGGAAACUCUGUUGGAGGCCCGUAGCGAUACUGACGUGCAAAUCGUUCGUCUGACUUGGGUAUAGGGGUGAAAGACUAAUCGAACCAUCUAGUAGCCGGUUUCCUCCAAAGUUUCCCUCAGGAUAGCUGGAGCUCACGUGCGAGUUUUAUCCGGUAAAGCAAAUGAUUAGAGGCAUCGGGGGCAUAACGCCCUUGACCUAUUCUCAAACUUUAAAUAGGUAAGACGGUGCGGCUACUCCAUUGAUCCGUGCCAUGGAAUCGAGAGCUCCAAGUGGGCCAUUUUUGGUAAGCAGAACUGGUGAUGCGGGAUGAACCGAAAUUCGAGUUACGGUGCCAAACUACGUGUUAACCCAGAUCCCACAAAGGGUGUUGGUUGAUUAAGACAGCAGGGCGGUGGUCAUGGAAGUCGAAAUCCACUAAGGAGUGUGUAACAACUCACCUGCCGAAUCAACUAGCCCCAAAAAUGGAUGGCGUUGAAGCAUGCAACCUAUACUCGACCAUUGGAGCAAUUUCCAGGCUUCGAUGAGUAGGAGGAUGUGGGGGUCAUUGAGAAACCUUGUGCGUGAGCCUGGGUGGACCAGUCCCCGGUGUAGAUCUUGGUGGUAGUAGCAAAUAUUCAAAUGAGAACUUUGAAGACUGAAAUGGGGAAAGGUUCCAUGUGAACAACACUUGGACAUGGGUUAGUCGAUCCUAAGAGAUGGGAAGCCCUGUAUCAAGGGUGCACUAUGCAUGAACAUCAAAAGGGAAUUGGAUUAAUAUUCCCGAACCGGGACAUGGCGGUGGAUGACAAUGUUAGGAAAUCUGGAGACGUCGUCGGGGGCCCCGGUAAGAGUUAUCUUUUCUUUUUAAUAUCUUAUCCACCCUAAAAUCAGCUCAACCGGAGAUAGGGUCCAGCAGCUGGAAGAGCAUCACAUGUCUUGCGGUGUCCGGUGUGCCCUCAGUGGCCCUUGAAAAUCUGGAGGACCAAGUACCGUCCAUGCCUGGUCGUACUCAUAUCCGCAUUAGGUCUCCAAGGUGAACAACCCUUUGUCAAUAGAACAAUGUAGGUAAGGGAAGUCGACAAAAUGCAUCCGUAACUUCGGGAAAAGGAUUGGCUCUAAGGGCUGGGCCUAGGGGUCUAUGUCCUCAACCCGUGGGCUAUCAGUAGUCUGCCCAAGCUGCUAUCGCGGCGAGGGUGGGCAGUCGCGUGCCGAUUGGGCUACGGACGUAGAAUGUCCUCUCACAGGGGAUUUUCCCUAGGCGACGAAUAGUCGACUCAGAACUGGUACGAACAAGGGGAAUUUGACUGUUUAAUUAAAACAAAGCAUUGCGAUGGUCCCUGCGGAUGCUGAUGCAAUGUGAUUUCUGCCCAGUGCUCUGAAUGUCAA